AUGAAGACUAAAGGAGCUGCGAACAAGGAUCUGUACUUUGCUGAAGUCACACGUAUGGACGGUGAUUAUGAAGCGUAUGUGCUCACCUGUUUCUGCAUGGUCAAACCUGAUGACAAUGGUGAAUGCCAUGUGUGUGGAGCUGACAUGAAGCACCCUGCUCAUGAUGGAUACAACCGUGGCCGCCCCUUUAUUUCAUAUAGACAUGGUAGACGUCCACGUGGAGUUCCUUUAUUUGAGAAGUUAUUUGCCGUGCGUGAUGAAGCUUGGCUGAAAGAAGAGGAGGAUAGGGUGAGACGUAUGAUCAAGGAAGGGAAGGAGGAACGGCGCAAGUUUCAUACCGGCUAG
rnacentral:rRNA from 1 species